UACAGAGGGGGCAAGCGUUGUUCGGAAUUACUGGACGUAAAGGGCGCGUAGGCGGCCUUCUAAGUCGAACGUGAAAUCCCUGGGCUCAACCCAGGAACUGCGUCCGAUACUGGAAGGCUUGAAUCCGGGAGAGGGAUGCGGAAUUCCAGGUGUAGCGGUGAAAUGCGUAGAUAUCUGGAGGAACACCGGUGGCGAAGGCGGCAUCCUGGACCGGUAUUGACGCUGAGGCGCGAAAGCCAGGGGAGCAAACGGG
rnacentral:rRNA from 1 species